UGGGAACGGAACGCAGUGAGUUUACUUUAACGUCUCUGGGAAAUUUGAGUUUUUACUCUGAAUGUUGACCGAUACCUCGAUAGAAACGAGUGCUUUGUGUUUAGGUUUGCAUCUGAGGAAGCAGUGAUCAUGCUGUGAAACACAUUCAGAUGCCACCAAACUGCCAGAUGGACCUUGGGUCUGGACCAUGGGCCUUUUGGAAAAGAGCACACUGGAGUGGAUCCAUCUGUCUCACAAGCAACACAAAACAGGUGCUCGGCUACUGUGUAGGAGGGUCACAGGGGGCUGGAGCCUAUCCCACUUGAAAGGCAGGGUCCUGAUAGGUUGUCAGCCAAUCCUAAGGCUAACAUAGAGAGACAGACAAUCAUUCACAGUCAGCCAAUUAACAUAACAUGCAUUUCUUUGGACGGGGAGGAAGCAGAAGCCAGGCAGGCACAGGGAGACCAUACAAGAUGGAUUUGGACCCAGGAUCUUCUUGCUGUGAUGUUGGCCUCCUAAUUGCAGAUUUUUCUUUUUCUGUUUUUAAUAAUUGAAUUUUUUUUAAUAACUUAAUAACUCCACAGUAUUUUUUUGUCAUUAUGUUGUGAAUAGUUUUUUUUUUAAUCUGAAUGCUCCAUCUGCCUAUCACUUUGCUGCUGGGCCACCUGAAUUUCCCCAAUGAGGGACAAUAAAGGAUAUUUCUAUUCUAUUCUAUUCUAUUCUAUUCUAAUCUAAUUAAACAUCCCUUUUCCAAAGCAUAAAAGAGCCACUAGAUCCCCUUUUUCUGCCUGUAUCUACCCCCUUAUGAUAACAAAAUAGCUGUUUGGUCUUAAGGGACUGAUGUUGCUGUGGUACCAGCUUUAAACAUUUGUUGUUUAAUCACAGUUUAAACACAUUGUUUGAACUGUGAGCCUGUUUGCAAAUGUAACUCAACACCAAGGUGUCGACUUUCAAAACACAGCAGAAUUUUUAGUUACCUGGGCCAGUGAAUGUUAAAGAGGUAAAACAUUUAUCACUAAACCUGCAGCUGUUGGUUGAGCUCUAAAUAUGCAAGUGUUUGGUCAAUAAUGGACAAAUCAAAAUACUUCAGGAAAAAUUAGAGGAUUACCCUUAGUGCUGGUGGGACCAUAUAAAAAGACAAAUCACUAUAGUUAAAGUAUGAAGCAUGGCUAGUACUGAAUCCCAGAAAACAUUCUACAGGGUGGGCCAUUUAUAUGGAUACACCGUAA